GUGCUCACUUCAGCAGCACAUAUACUAAAAUUGGAAUGAUACAGAGAAGAUUACUAGCCCCCACUUAAGGAUGACAUGCAGAUUAGUGUAGGAAGAAUUUAUACU
ensembl:snRNA U6 U6 spliceosomal RNA